AACGCGAAGAACCUUACCCAGGCUUGACAUCCUUGGAAUUUUGGCGAAAGCCGAGAGUGCCUUCGGGAACCAAGUGACAGGUGAUGCAUGGCCGUCGUCAGCUCGUGUCGUGAGAUGUUUGGUUAAGUCCAUCAACGAGCGCAACCCUUAUAGUUAGUUGUAUUUUUCUAGCUAGACUGCCCUGGUAACAGGGAGGAAGGGGGGGAUGAUGUCAGGUCAGUAUUUCCCUUACGUCUGGGGCUACAAACACGCUACAAUGGCCGGUACAAAGGGCAGCCAAGUCGCAAGACGGAGCAAAUCCCAUCAAAGCCGGUCUCAGUUCGGAUUGCAGGCUGAAACUCGCCUGCAUGAAGCUGGAAUCGCUAGUAACGGUAGGUCAGCACACUACCGUGAAUACGUUCCCGGGUCUUGUACACACGC
rnacentral:rRNA from 1 species